UUUCCCUUUAGCUUAGCAAUAUGCUGCAGCUCUCAAAAGAUUGGAUCUGAAAGAAAGAGACGGAGGAGAAUGAGAGCCAGAGACAGAGAUGCAGACAAGGGAGGGAAGGGGAAAAAAGACUUUUCUUUUCUUUUCUUUUUUUUCUUUCUAGAGGAAUUCUGCCCAGACUCUCCAGCAGUUGGUAGCAGGCAGGCUUUCUCCUGUGUCGCCUGGAAAAGUUGCAAAAUUGCUCUUCACCUGUAAGAACAUGCUUUUUUAUCUUCCAGUCUCUUCUUGUCAAUUUGGAAAUUGCAGACAGCCCGGCUCAGGCAUUAAGAGAAAUUGAUUAGUGACAAGGAAGAGAAGAAAACAUUGCUGGUCAGUAGGCCACGCAUUAGGGCCAGAACUCAGGGCCACCAUCUACCAACCAGCUCCACGAUGUGUCCAGCCAUGGAAGAACCCGGUGGCCAAGCGUGAUUAUGCAACCGGUGGGCAGUGACUGAGGACAUGGUGUCCUUGGGAGCAGAGCUCCAUCCCGGGGAAAGGAAAGAGGGUCAUGAAAUCAUCACCAUCAUCAUCAUCAUCACCACCACCACCAUCAUCAUCACCACCACCACCAUCAUCAUCAUCACCAUCAUCAUCAUCAUCAUCACCACCAUCACCACCACCACCAUCAUCAUUAUCAUCAUCACCAUCAUCAUCAUCACCACCACCAUCACCACCAUCAUCAUCAUCAUCAUCACCAUCAUCAUCAUCAUUGGCAGCGGUGGCAGCGGUAGCAGCAGCAGCAAGAUUUUGUAUUGGGAGGGUCCUUCCACAUGCUACAGGGGACAGAAGGUCAUCAGAUGUUGGCCUAGGGAUUAUAGCAUGAAGUGUUCCUCUUCUCGUAGGAUUUUAAACCUUUCGAGGAUUAAAACUGUCAUUCUAAUAGCUUGUUUCAGACUUACCCAUCAUCUACAACAUGCGGAAAAGCAGACUUAUAGAAGUCACCUAACUAAAGCCCAAUGUGAUGACCAGGGAAGUUGUUUUGAAGUAGGGCAGAUACUUUUUGAGACAUUAAAGAAAGGCACAAACUUGUUUCUAUUACACAUACAUUCUUGGAGCCUUUAGUUUGAACCUGGAACUCUGUUAGAGUCUGUGGGAACAACAUAGGCAGAAGACAUAGUCCUUACCUCCAGGAAGCUUCUUGGGCAAAGAACCAGUGUUCAGAUAUGGGCUUCAUCAACUUAAUGAAGACAGUUAACAUUUACCUUUAUUGUAGUGCAAAACAAAUGUAAUAAAAACAUAGGAUAUAGGGUUCGAGUGAAGGAGAAAAAUCACGUGAUUGGGAGACAAUGGAAAUCCUCCCAGAUGUCAGACACCCUUGGUGUUGGAGCUGGAGAAAAGCUGCUUGGGCAAUUCCCUGGCCCUGUUUGUCUCUGCCUGCAGCACUCUGGCCUCCUCUGAGUCAGUCAGCUCUUAUCUGACUGCUUAUCCAUUCCAUGAUCUAGCUCACCAGGCUGCAGAUUCCAUGAAGGAUGCUGUAUAUCCCUCUCUGAUUUCUCCCCCAUUAAAUAUCCUACAUAGAGACCAUUGCCCAGUACAGUACACAUUGUCAAUAAAAAGUCUUUAUGGCUGGACAAA
ensembl:lncRNA